rnacentral:rRNA from 1 species
UACGGAGGGGGCUAGCGUUGUUCGGAAUUACUGGGCGUAAAGCGCACGUAGGCGGCUUUGUAAGUUAGAGGUGAAAGCCCGGGGCUCAACCCCGGAAUUGCCUUUAAGACUGCAUCGCUAGAAUUGUGGAGAGGUAAGUGGAAUUCCGAGUGUAGAGGUGGAAUUCGUAGAUAUUCGGAAGAACACCAGUGGCGAAGGCGACUUACUGGACACAUAUUGACGCUGAGGUGCGAAAGCGUGGGGAGCAAACAGG